UCAACGCUGCAGAUGUAGAGGAUGAGUCUGCUGUUCAGAACCCGUCCUGCAAUCUUCUUUUCCUGCUCGAGGUUUUGUAACAAGCUUGUAGGAGGCCUGUCUGCUGGCUUCUCCACUAUGACACUACACUUCACUGGAUAUAAAGCAGGUGCAUGAAGUCAUGCGAAUGAAGUUUCUUUGGGCCCCCGGUGGGUUUAGUUUUCUAUUCUUGACCCAAUCAAUGAAGCACAUCGGAAGCAAGUUUCAAUAAGAUCUUUGAAACACAAGUUCUUUAGAGUGGCACACUUGCCAUUUUAGAAGAGGAAAAUGUCCCCAUAAUUCAACAAAUCACUGACUCCAGUCAGACUUUCAUUUUUAAAUCAAAGACUAGAAUAAUAUCCCAUCUUAACCCCUUACCUGUCACUCACAUUUUUGAACAUAGACUUUGUAGUGCAUGAUCCAAACUUACAUUUGUAUAAUUCAUGAAUGAAAACAUUUUGUAACAUGAUAUUGAUGUACCAUUUACAUGGUAAUGCAUGUCUGAUUUUAAAAUGGCUUUUAAAGGAUGAAUUUUGAGAUUUUAAGUUUUCAGUUGAUAUAUAAUUUCUAAUGAUUUCUAAAAUGUGAUAGAGAAAAAGGCAACAAAGAAGUCUUUUUUUUUAUUUUUAUUUUUUAACAAAGGUCAAAACUCCUGUUAUAAUGGAGAUUUUUGAGGGUGCACUCUUGUCAUAAAUUAAUCGAUUACAUUUCCUACAAAUAUAUAUUUGGGAGUCUUAGACCUUUCCAAUAAUAUAUAGUUUGUCAAGAUUAUAUUAGAAUUAAUUGUAAUAUAGUGAAGUAAAUGUAGGCGUCCCACAGAGGGGACGGGUGACUUAAAAAAGGAUUCAUUAAAAAUGUGUCACCACUAAUGUAGAUUUAUUAAUAUUUGUCUAAAACACACACACACCCGUAUAAUUUCAUAAUUAAAAUGCUUUAAAACUGCAGGGAACCAAACAGGAUGAGUUCCAUUGUCUGUGUUAGACAAUUUUCAAGUAAUUUACCUAGCUCUGAUCAUUUCACACUAGAAAGUCUCAGUGCAGUUACAUUAAAUAUUAGUCCUCUUGUGUACAGUUGUGGGGGGAAAACAACAGCAUUAUUUGUUUUUUAUUAAUAAAAGCUGUAAAUGUAUUUGAAUUUCAUUCCACUGAAGUAAACCAAGUGUAUGGGUCAUACACUGCUGUUGUAUCGAUUUCAUAUAAUACCAUGUACCUUUACAAUAACAUGCCAUUAAUAUUUUAAAACAUGUUGCUAUUUAGAAUUAGAUCAGAUUCGGUAUUAUAUAAUAUAUGUUAAAGUUUUUUUUAAAGAUGUCAGUCAGUGUAAAUAACUAACAAUAGCCUACAAAAGAUGAUCUGCUUGUGAUGGAGACAGAAUUGGCAGAUGAUUAUCAGUGCAAAAAGAAACAACUCCAGCCAGCACCGAGACUCGAACCUGCGACCUUCGGGUUACAAGUCCUGUGUACAUGGUGUGUACAGGUGUUAACAGGAACAGAUGCAUUAAAGUAAUCACACAAUGAUCAGAAUUACAAAUACGUCAUUUAUGACAGU